CAAUAUUGCGUCUCCGCUCCUAGCACGAGACUCACCUGAUCCGCCAGCUCCCUUUCUCUGGUAUAUAUAAACAUGACUGUCAACUCCAUCCAAGAGACUCAAGGUCGAGUCUCUGAUCUUGGAAUUCAAGAGAAAUCCAAGGAUUUCUCUUUGCCGGAGAUCAUAGCUACUGAAUCUGCUCAUCUCUCCAGGAAAAUGGGAGUGAAGGACUGUACCGAGGG
rnacentral:misc_RNA from 1 species